UUGAACUAUUGUUUGUUUGGUUGUAGAAAGGCUAUGGCUGGAGUCACCUGCGCUCUGUGUGCUGCACAAAGGAAACAGAUCAAACAGAGGCAAACAAUUGCCAUCUGCAGUCUAGAAAAUCUGAUCCAUAACAAAAGAUGAAUAUGCAUGAAAAGAUUGAGGAAGUUACUGUAUGGGGACUGUUGAGUCACGGUCUGAAUUGAUGGAGCACCUGGGGAAAGGACCCGGUCAGCCCUGGGAGCACAGGUGAAGGCAAUUCAGCUGUGUGAGUGGAAGGGCUGCAGCCUGGCUGCACCUCUCUUAGACCUCAUUUAAGGGCUGACUGCCACUGGGGAAGGAUUUCUGGUUGGAGAUCCCUCCUGUGUGGAGUUUUCCCUGUGAGCCUGGAUUUUCAGAGAUGGAGUUGUCAGAAGGACCUGGAGAGUCUGAGGCAAUCUGAGAAGAAACACAGACUGUUCAGAAAAGCCCACGCAUCUGUCUAGAAUAGAUGCAGAAAGGUAUUUAGUUAAAAUUUCCUUUUAAAUGUGUGAUUUAUGAACAACAUAAUCUGGAUUUAUUUAUUUAUUUAUUUUACAGAGAGUGACAUUUUAAGCUGUUUCUUCCUGUAAUUUUUCUAUGCAGUUCUAGGAGGGAAUAUUCAAAGCUGGGAUAAAAGAAUGCUGUUAUGGCGACAUGACCUAGUUUAUCCUACAGCUCUUCAUCUAGAUAAAAUUUUUCACCUAGCCCAUGAAAUAGGUAAAAUCAUGCUUUUAGCUUUCCAAGUAAAGCCUAGUGUCUAGUCACUGCUAGAUCUGUUCUUCACAAAUGCAGAAAUAUCUUUCAGCAGAAUGAAUCCACAACACAGUCAGGUUGUUUGUUGUUUCUUGUUAUUUUCUGACUGAAGAAUCUGCUGACUUCUCUUUAAAAUGUAGGCUUCAAGAGCAGUGACCUUUUAAGAUUCGCUUUUCAGUUUUAUGUUUGUCUAAAACUGUUUCCUUGAAAUGGAUUAUUUAGUGACCAAUUUUCAGGACAAGUAACUCAUGUCGAUUUAUCAGGGAAGCAAAUAUUUCAGUAUUCGUCUUUGGAGAAGAUCUCUAAAAAUGGAGAUGAAUUUGGAGUAGUUGCUUGACCUUAGAUAUCUACAGCAAAACAAAACACAGCAAGAUGUGGAAAUAAAUGGUUAUUUGAUUAUGAUUUUGUUCCAUUUCAACAGAAAUAGAGUACUAUGUUCUCGUUACUGCUGUUAGCUAGGAAUAGCUACUUUAAAUCUGUGUGAGCAGAAUAGUAAAGCAGAAAAACACCAACUCUCACCAAAUCUGUGUUUACCUGUUUUGAUAUACAUUACUACACAUAAAACUAAAUGUAUUAUGAACUUACAUCAGCUGGCAGAAAAGCAGGAAAAUGCUCCAACUGUAUAUGAACCAGAUCUUGAUGGUUCAUAAAGCACAGGUGAGAGAUGUAAUUCACCAAAAACGGAGCCAUAAAUGUCACGUGGUUAUUGAUUACACCCUGAAUAGUUAAGAAUUCUUCCUAAAAGUUCUUUGAGCAUUAAAUACCACUGAUCUACAUUUAAUAUACAAUGAUGUUGCUCUAGAUCUAGGCUGGGCUCGAUUUCUUUUCUUCCAGAUGCUCUCACCUCCCUGCAAACUCGUGAUUAAACUGUUUUGAUUUCUUUUUCAGAUGCAGAAUUGUGUCUCCACUGAAAACAAAAAAAAAAAGGGUCUGUCGCAAGAAAAACUGAAUCAAAUUCUCCAGGAGUUUUUCAGUACAAUUAAGCUGUAGGAUAGUCCAUAUCAUAGGUGCAAAUCUCUCUGUUCAUUAUAGGACAGCUGACAAGGAUAUGGCAAAAGGUAAAACCAGGAAUUAUGUCUUUAAGGGCUCAUUGUAAUCUAAUUUUAUUGGUGGUACCCUCCCCAACAUAAUGAACUUUGAUGAAAUAAUGAAGUAGUUGUGGCGCCUGUGAAACUGAGCAGGCAGCUCUGCCAGUUAAAGACCUCCCAUGAACACAAUCACCCAGGCAACAACUCUGGGCUGCAGUGAAGCCAGAAACUGGCAAGUCAGCUCUUCCAUCUCUUAGCUCCUUGCAAUUCUGCUUUCUGAGACUUGGGGAAAGAAAAAAGAAAUAAAAAAGAGAGGGAGAAGAUGAAGAAGAAGAAAAAAAGAUCAUCCACUUACAUCUGUGGUUGAAGGAUAUAGCUUAAAAAAAAUAAAUUCUGUCAGAAUCCACUGAGUUGUUUAAAAUGACUCCAAGUUCGGCAGCCAGCAAAGUUACAGAAACCAUAAGGCUGGCUCUGCCACUGAAUAAGUUCAAAUAUCUAAGGAAAUGAAUACAAGGAAGACUUUAAAUAGCAAUAUUUUUAAUUCGGCAAGAUUUCCACCCCCUGCUAGACUUGGAGAGAGUGCAACAGAUGGUUACAGGAAUCUGUAAAUUUAUCAUUGUUAUUUUUAAGAAGUUGGAUCUGUGGAACACAAACAUUUAAUAAUGGAUAUAAUUAAAUUCUUUGCUAGUUAGUUUGACUCGAGUCAAUUGGCACUGUAAUGCCAUUUCAUUUACAUAAAAUGUAUAGUAAUUGUGGUUCAGAGAACUGUGAUUUUACAGAGCUGGAACUACAGAUGGAAUAAAGAUAAAAGAAAUCAGAGUUAACAACACCCCUAUGAUCUCAGAUAAUGUCUCAUAUUUGGAGUUUAGGUAUUCAAACUCUAAUCUCUAUAAUCAAACUCAGGUCCAAAUCAGCUAGAAACACAAGCAUUUUCAGUGUGACUAAUGACUUUGGGCACUCCAAUUUCCAGAUGAUUAAAUGAUGAUGUUUUCAAGUGACCUGAUUUUGAUAGUUGUUAUUAAAGCAAUUCUGAAAAUUAGACUCCCCUAGUGGUGGAAACCCCAUGGCAUCAAUGAAUUACAUGGAAUUUCUACCACCAUAACGAUGAACUUUUCUAAGAACUGAUGACCACGUUUUCAGUAAGUACAAAGCUACCUUUGAAAGCUUUACCUGAAGUUGAUCCUGAUGCUUAAUCUGAAAAUCAUCUAACUGGUCUAUCUCUACACACAAAUUCUUAUUUUGUUUGAAACUGUAGCACCUCCCUGUUUGUUUUUUUAAACAAAUAUCGACUUAUUUGAAGUCAAUAAGGCUGAUGAAAGCUGAAUGUAAUUGCUUAUUGGUAGGAAUUUUUAUUUUGAAAGCAGCUGUCUUUAAGAGGCUGCUUCUCAGUGACUCUUGAGAUAUCAGCUUCUGAAAGUAGACAAAUACAAAUUGGAGUAAAAUCACAACCAGGCUUACUGGGAAUGUUCAGCGUAUCAAUCCCCAUUAGAGCUCCUCAGGUUCUGGGUCUUCCUGAGGCCGCAGUCUUGUGUUCAUCGAUAAACGUGACAGUCACUCCCACACAAAGGUUUGGAAGCCUUUCAAGGGAUUAAAUCAUCCUUCUUCCACUCAGUAGAAGGUUCAGCCAUAUCAAUGUGCGUAUAAAUACUACUAUGUGAGUAUGCACAGGAUUGUAUGUGAGAUAGGAUACGGGUAUCCAGGAUUUGUGCCAUUCUACGAAGUUACAAAUUAGACCCAAGCUAACCAGAUUGUUAUGGAUCUGGGCCUAGUCAUUACACUGAUUUUGUGGUUACAGAGCAAGAGGUUGUGCCUUUUCAACAAUAUAUCUCUGAUUGCUCAUGAAGGCUUUUGGAUGAUUGUGGCAAUGGAUUACUGACUCAGUUUCUCGUUGCCUGCUUGUCAGAGAGAUCCAUUUCCUAUUUUUACUGGGACUACUCAAAUUGUCCAUCCAAAUUAAACGCAAAAGCAAAAUGUGCAGCUAUUGUGUAGGCUCUAAGCCAACGCUUGUCAGCAGUCAAUAGAGGAGCAGCUCCCAGAUGUCUCUUUUACCUGAAGAAACUAAAAGUACAUGGUGUCCUUUUAAUCUGGAAACAAAAGAGAACAAAGGCAAACAAAUGGAGACCAAAUUAUCUAGCCUUGAGAUCUGAAUUUACUCCAUAUUGAACUUCUGGUUCCUACCUAAUGAGCCCAUGCUGUUGCUCGCUAGUGAAUGAGAACAAAGAAAAGUGACUCAUGCUGCCUUGUUACUGUUACAUAAUCUAUACAAGUAAUUUAUUUUUAUGGUUAAUUACUGGAUUAGUAAGGUAUAUUGGAAAUGGAGAUGUGUAUAAUGGCAAGGAGAUGUGGCAGAAGGACUUACAGGAGAUUCAAAUGGUUGUCUGUAAAACUGUGCAAAAAAUAUCUGUCAGUACAUCAUGCAGGAAAAUCUCCAUAAAGCAUGACUGCUUUCAGGGUUGGUCAUUUGUGUUAACACCUCAAAGUGUGGCUGGAUUCCAUUCGGCCUCAGUAGGCCUUUGUCCUUACAUUAGUCUUUUUUUUUUUUUUUUUUUUGCAGUGACAAAACUCCCUUUAUUUCACCUCGGUGAAUAACUUCUGCUCUUACCUGCUGGGGAAACCUGGAGUCAGUAUUUGUUCCUUCUCACAUGAUUACACAGGGCCAUUUCUAUAGCCUCGCAAAAUCCCUGCUGUAUUAAUCACCACAGAGCUGUGAGAAUAAGGGAUAUAAAUCUUCCAAACCACAGUCAAACUACUAGAGAUUGGUUUAUGUCAUUUACAGAAAGGUAGAAAUAAUAAUCAUUCUGAAGUGUCUGGAUGCAUCUAACUCUGUACUAGAUAUGCAAGUAUGCAUUUGAAGCUGCAACAAUCCUUUGGUCAUCAAAUGACCUAGAUUGGGAUUACAUGCUGAGGCAUCAGUCUAAUAUGAAAUUACUCCGUGUUUUUAUUGUAAUGACCAAUUAAGAAUCAGCACCUCAGAAACCUCAGGUAGCAGUUUUCCAUGAAAUAAACAUCGACCUUGAAAAUGUGCCCCUUCUGAAAUCCUAAUGCUGAUGUAUUCUGAAAGGGUCAGACCGUCACCAUGGUGUUGGCAGGAGUGAGUUGUGUUUGGCUGCCGAAUGCCAAUACAUCCUCCAUGCCAAAGAUUAGUUGUGAGCAGGGAAGUUGCUAGGAGCCGGGGGUAAACACAAAUGCUCCCUGCUUUCCUUACAGCUCUGCUUCAAAGUCCUGCAGCACGCUCAUGAAUGUACCCAAUGCUCCUCUUCCCUCCUUUAACAACAUGUGGUACAUGGGGUAAGGAGUCAUAUUGUGUUCUUUUGGGUCUUUUUAAAACAAAUUUUUAUUUAACCUCUGCUUUGACCCAGCACGUAAGUGUGUUGCCCAGAUAUGCUCCAUUUCAGUUUAUUUAACCAGAAUGUUUGCUUACUCAGUGACCACUGGAGGGGAACUACUGCUCUUAUUAAUUCCACAAUGGGUAUUUGUUGCUUCUUGUUUUCUGACAUUUUCUUUAUGACCCUAAUUGCAGAGUUCUUGUUUUCAGAUAAUAAAUGCACGUGUCUAUUUGCUCAGGCAUUAUGCAAUUGAUCUCCAGCUAUUAAUUAAAGAUCUAGACUCAAUGUCUCUGAACCUGCCUCCGGAUAUUUGUCCUCAUUGUGUCAUACCUUGGGUGCACAAACAGGGAAACCACUCACAGCACUGCAUGCACGCUGCUCGUUCUCUUUAAUUACAAAGUCUGAAUUCUGGAGCUCGCAAAGAAGGAAUUACACGGAGCAAAGAAUAUUUUUCUGAUGGGAUUUUUAUUCUUCCUUCUUUCACUGGGCUGCCAGCAUUUCUCCCAAGAUGCUGACCUGCAAGCAUAAUGAGAUGUUUGUGUUGUUCUCAGCAUUACAGACCAAAAGGGGUUUAUUUUUUCCUUUAUUGUUGCUGCUGUUAAUAGCAGGGCAAAAUUCAGCUGACAUUACGAAGAAGAUGAAGAUUUCAUGGGUGAAAAGAGAAAUCUUUUUUUUCUUGGUUGCUUUUUCCUCCCAAGAGCCCAUUUAGGCAAAUACGUUAUAUGAUCCUGUGAACAAAUUGUUACUUUUCCAGACUGCUCUGUUUUCUGUGUAAACACUUUAAUGUAGCAGCGUACAAGAACAGCACUUUCAAUCCAAAACGCAUCAAAAAUAGACCUUCCAGAACAUUUGGAACUUGUUAGGCUCCAGAAGGAAAAAGGGAAGGAGAGACUGUGAAAAAAAGCUUUUCACCUCCUAACUGCUCUCUUUUUUAUAUUUCUUAAUGUUCUAAAAAUCCUACCGGAUUGCUAUGAAGCUUUUCAAAGCUCAGAACAGCAUGGGUCCCCAAAUAUAGCGAAGGCGCAGCUGAGAGAGGCAGAAAUUGUUUUCAGUCAAUUUAGUAAGAAGUCAUUACACUUGAAGAGAAAACCUAAUGAGCUUGGGAAGCCAGGAUUUGGUACCUACCCCUUUUAUACACUUCCUGUUCCCCUUAGGAAAAUCAUCCAGCCUCUUUGUGACUCAGUUUCCUCGCCGCCAAAUGAGAAUAGCAACACUUUCUGACCUCACAGGGAGUGCGUCUGAGAAGCAGUUGAGUACCUGGAGGGAAGGAGCUAAAAAAUAGACAUCUUUAGCACCAGCAGAUGCAGCGGGUGUACCUCACUGCAGCAAAUUUCCAGGUGAAGAGUCUUCUACUGGAAAAAUACUGAUUCAAUGCCACUGAAAUGCUUGGGGAAAAUAAAUGUUGUUUAAUACGUUAAAAAGUAGCAGUGGAUUUUGCUGUUGAGAUACAUCCAGGUUGGAUCUGUGCAGUUGGAAAUUACUUUAUCAGUUAAAAAAAACCAGUCAUGACAGUGUUGAUCUUAUCACAGCCAAGUUCUUCAGUGUUUUCACAUUUGAUGUUUCUACAACUUCUCUUUUGAAGUACUGCUUCACAGGAAAAAAAAUAAAUAAAGCUUAACAUUUUUUUUUCUGGCCCUUGAAAAAAAAAAAAGACCAUCACUAACCCACAAAAAAAGAAUGAACUUUUGGUUCUUAUCUCUCUCAGUAGUCACAGCCACCCAAGGAUGUGCGGGAGCAUUAUCUGUACGCAAGCUAAAAUCCCCAGGAGUGCUGUCAGCAAUCUGCAGUGAGCACAUGUCAAAAUAAGAGAUUAGAAUUGCUGGUUUGGUUGCAAGCUCAAAACGCUCUUUUUUUUUUUUUUUUUUUAUUUUAUUUUAUAUUUCCAUUCCCCCAACAAAUUAAAUCUUUUGCCUCCAGAGCUGUAGUGUUAUAGCUAUCAUCUCUUUAUGCAUUUGAGUUAUGAAUUGCGGGCAUCUCUGCCUGCUUCUUCUUAUAUUAAAAUGGGCUGCUGUAACCUCACUGUUCCAUACUAAGAAGAUACGCAAUCCUUGUGAUACAGUAUCAUAGCAUUUUGGCAUCAUUUCAUCCUGCGUAAGAAAAUGAACGCUAUGAGAACGUUGGCAUAAUCUUUUGGCUUCACAGGCUUGGCUGCCGCAGGCUCAGCUUCUGAAGGUUUAAAAACUUUUAUCCCAGUUCAGAUAAUAUUGCCAAAACUUGGGUUGUCUUCUAUAGAAAAUAAUUGCUUGUCCAAGUCUUUACAGUCUCUAUGCUAGUUUAAUAACAAGUAAUUAGUUGAAUAAGUCCAAUUAAGGCCUUUGUACAGAUCUGAGAUUGGAGUAGGACUGUAGGUCAAGUUUCAUUUUAAAAUCCAUUAGAAUUUCUAUCACUCCGUACACACCCAGGGCAAAGCUAUUAUGGGCUUUCCCAUUAACACAUAUGAUUCAUUAUUUGGACUUGGAGCCCAGAUCUAACAAUGUAUGUAUUUAAAUCCCUAAAGCAUACCUAGAACAGUAGCAUUCACUGUGAUCAGGAGCUCCUUUUUUCACCUUUCUCUGAUAGAUGUGCUAGACUCGGGGAUACCUGUGAAUGGCGGUGGAAAAAAGGUUAAAGCACACUUGUGCAUGUGGAACAGUGCUUUGAAACAAUACAUGUGAAUUUUACCUUAGAUGGUACUUCACAGAAGAACCAUAAAGUUUCAGUGGGCAAACUUCCCCACUGGAUCCACACCUAACCAGUGCUCCGUUUUUCAACAAGCUGUACUUCAGUUUCAUGUACUGUUGAUGUUCAUGCAUUCUAAUGGGUGACUGUUGCUCCUUGCUUUGACAAACUUCACUUCAGCUCUUGGCUCCUGCUUUGACAGUGCACAAGCAGGGAGAGCAGCUUGUACAGCUUUCUCACUGAAAAGCAACAUUUGCUUUUGAGAUUAACGGGCUGAGCUAGGAAAAUUUCACAGCCCUCCAGACAAAAUGUUGUCAAGCCAUUAUAAGUACAAAAGGUUGUGUGUCUGUUUUGCAAGCCAACUCAUUUACUGAGUGUCAUUAGGAGCUCAUACACCUCCCUGUUGUGAUGUUCUCAUUAUUAAAUUAUAGAGGGUAUCACAGUAAUUUGAGAUGUGGACUUUAAGUGUCAUUUCUAUCCUCUCUCGCUCCACUUGAUGGUCAGAGCUAUCUAUUCUUAUCACGCACAGACAAAUUUCCUCUGCUGUGGCUUUUCUGUGAAUGGUUAGAUUAAUUGCUGUCUAUCUUGAACCACUGUUACGUCUACUCAGAUAUUAAAAAGAAGUUUAAAUUCGAUUCUUUUUAUUUCAUUGGCACUCUGCACAGAGUUAAGAGUCAUAAUCCCAGUGGGAUUAGUGCUCACUAUGUCAGAUGCAGAUUUUGAAAAUUGUGAGAUGACAAUAAUAGUGAGAAUGAUAAUCGUAUGAACCGUUUCAAGCUACGGAGAUUCAAGAAAUAAUCAUCAUUGUGGUUUGAAUAUAGUAAGAAUUUCUUUUAUGACUUCAAGGUCAGUAUGAAACAGAAAUGUUAUGCAAAGUAAUGUAAAGAAAAAUAAGAUCAGAAGAUUAGCUCUAACUGUCAGAACAAAAGUUCAUUCAGCCCAAAUCCAGCAUCUUCAGAAAGCAGACAAAGAGAUAUCCUUCUCUUGUUACAUCCUCCCAGCUUUCAGGACCAGGUGAUACAAGGACUCUCUGGUCCAGAAAAGAUAACCGGACUCUUAAGAGCCACCGAUGGACUCAACCUACCAAAAAUGUGACAGUCUUUUAAACUCCUUUUUGCUUUUGGCCCCACAACUCCUUACAGCAGUACUCUCCAGAGUUCGCUGACAUGUAUUGUGAGCAAGCACGUCAAACACGUUCGUUGCUGUUUUGAAGAUUGCUGCCUGCAGAGUUUAGAAAUCAUCCCUUGAUUCUUAUGCUGAACAAAGAGAAACACAGUUUAUGUAAGGUAAACUGACAGCAAUCAUCUCAGUGGGUUAUUAUUGUUUGUGAUGCAUAAUUUAAAAGCCAGAUUUUCCAACAAUUUAUGGAUGCAAUUAUACAUCUAAUUUGCACAGUUAUUGCAGACACAUAUAAUAUCAGUUGCUUGCAUGUUCAGCUGGGCUAACGUAGGGCUGGAACAGCACUGAAUGAUCCUUUUGUACAUUUUUCCAGGGGAUUAUGCCACAUUUAGCAUAAUCUCUUCUAACAACAGUAAGUCAGCUCUCUAAUAGUUUCACACCAGAUGCAAACCACAUUGUUUUUCAAGGAACAAACAUCCAUUAUUGUCAAUGGACAUUGUUAUAGAAGAAAUCUUCUGACUUUGGAGCUUAGCAGAAAUGCAUACUGAUUUAAAAAAAUUAAACAGCAUGGAAAGACCAAGAUAUUCCUUUCAAAGCAUAGGUCACAGCAUAGGUACAACAUCUGACUUUUUUUGUUGGGGUUUUCAAGCUGACUCACUGCAAUAUACAGAAUGCAUAUGUAUAUCAUACAUAUAUAUGUAUAGUACAUAUGCUCAACAAGUUUUUACACAGCAAAGGCUUUGUCAAAUUGCUUUAGAGACCACAGCCUCCGAAGCAUGCAGGAGGCCAUGAUGCUGGACAGGCUUGUAAAUCCUUAUUUGUCACACACAGCACAGUAAAAAGAAGUGCUGCAAUUUGUGCUGUAAUCCUGCCCAAAGACAAGCCAGUAAUGGGGCCAAAGGUUUUUUUUUUAAUAAAAAUGUCCACAAAAAUUCAGACAUUGACUCAUUUUCAGGAAUAUGCUUCAGGAAUUCAAGCUGAACUCAUCUGAGCCCUUAGCUUUGCUCACUGGUCCAUAAUAGAGUAUGAAAUAAAGGGCUUCAGAGAGGAAUGGUCCCUCAAUUGCUGAAGAUAACUAAUUGGCCUAAUGGCAAAAAAUAAAACAAGAAACAAAUAGAAAAGAGCAAUUAUAACACUGCGGUGACUAGUCUUGUUGAUUAGACUUACUACUUUACACAGAGCAGCUAAACUGAAUUCUUCAUAAAAGAGACCAAACUGAAGUCUUUCCACUUAACUGUGUAUUACACUGAGUUAUGAGGAGAACCAUGAGUAUAAAUUAUCUACAAGAGUUUUUGUCUAGCUCCAUCGUGGUAACAGUAUGAUCACGUCAUACAGUAAGAUAUAAAUGACUCAUUUCAUUUCAUGGUAAGAUAAAUCCUGGAAGAAAUGGAAGCUUUACAAACUUGAGCCAUUCAUACGCAUUCACCUUGACUUCAUGGACUUUAAAACCUUUAAAAUAACUUUGAAGUGAGGUUAUUUAUAAAGAAAAACUACAAACAAAUUAAGUUAAAUUUACAAGGUAACACACAAUGGAUAUACAAAUAUCUGACCUGAAUGUUUGACAAAUGUAAUUCAAAUAACAAAUGAACAGUAUGGCACAAAAGGACAUAGUCACGAUUAUGGAGCUUAAAAAUAAGACUAUUUUUCCAAGCUUGUCUGCCUUCAAAGGUAUUUAAAACCUGAUUCUCCUCCAGCAUGUAUUAGUGUCAAUCAAAAUCUGCUCAGGUCAAUGGCUUUACACAAUUGCAAAAUUAGUAUAAGUGAGAGGACAAUCAGAGCUUUUGUAUGCUACAAAAAUCUCUCUUAAUAGCAACAGCAGCAGAGAAGAAGGAGGUAGGAGGUCCCUUUCCAAGACAGGCAGUGUAGACAAACAAGAAAAACCUGCUGAGCUUGUAAAUGAGGACUUGGAGGAGGAGCUGUAGCAUUAAUUUAGCCAUUAAUUCACUUCUUAAAAAUUUCCUCUAUCCUAUCUUCCACUUCAUGUGAUAUUUAGCAGGAUUUGGGUUACAAAUUUAACAUUACAUUGCAGAGAUGUGCUUUCCAUCACGACGCCCAGAAAGAAGUUAGAACUUUAAAAUUACAUGCUUGUGUGGCAGCAGUGCUUCUUGAUUUGUUUCUUGUGAAGCUGUGACAAAGAAGUGCCCACUUCACUCUUGGGCCCCAUUCGUGGCUGCCAAAUCCCAGACUGCCUUCUGCAGAGUGCAGCUAUGACUCCACCACUGGAGGCCUUGCUUGCCAGAUGCAUCUCGUUGCUGUUUGUGAUGGAUCCAGGGAAAUGUGCCCUCAGAACUCAGCUGCUGAUUCAGCAUUUGUUUGUUGUUGGGAAGAACUUCAAGUCUCAACCGACGCUCGUAAAACAACUUGGCUCCAGUAAAUCAUACUGCCUUUUUGUGGAUGUUGAAGGUCAAUAGAAUGACAUGAGUAUACACACAGCUAAGAAACCAAAGCCCCCAGCAGAGAUUUUCUCUGUCUGCAUAUUGUUGUACUUGAGUUCCUUGUCCUCUUUUGGCCGUGAUUGAGGAACAACUUUAAGUGCAUGGUUAAGGACUUUCCUGAAUUAGUGCCUAGAUUCCCUUUUAUGCAGUUAAAUUUUUUGAUAUUAUCAAGAUCUUCUCCAGUCUGUAAUCAAGAGUGUGUCAAGGACAUAAAGAAUUGAGCAGAACUGAGACCAGAAUCAUGCAUCCAGUGUCCCUUGCCCAACGCGAAUGCCUCCAGAUACUUUACAAACUAGCAAGCUACAUGCCUUGAAGGGUACAGUGAUUCAUUAUAAUAGAGGUUAAAAGCAGAACUUUAGUUUACUUCAGUCCAAUCUUAGGGAGCUAAGGGGAACACAGUCCUUUUCUUUCUUCCUUAUCUCUGAAGAACAUCAAAUUGAUACUUAUAUCUCCCUCUUAGGAGAAACAGAAUUAAAAGCACUCCAGUUUGUAAAUGUCUUGCUCGUUUCUCUUCAAAGCUUCCUGAAAAUCCAGAGAGGAAGGAGUGCUAUCCUCUCCUGCUUUAUAACUGCUUCAACAAGGCCAGGCCCCACAGUUCACCUGCAUCUUACAGCCAUUGAGGAGGGCAGUUACACAAAGGGGUGACAACUCCUGCCCUCUCUGCAGCGGAACAGAGCCCCUCUAGUCUGUUUUUGAGCAUGUUACAACUACUGUAUUAAGCCAUCAUUUGAUCAUACACCAUUGGCUUUUGUAACCAGGCUCUUGCUUCACUUUCUUUCUGCCAAUAAAGAGGUUCCUGUCAUUGUGUUACUCUGCCGUGUGCAGCUUUGGAGGAAGGAGAAGGUGUAAAGGGAAGAAGGAUAUCUUGAGGUUUGCUGUUUGGAGUUGGCUCUGUCUUGUAUUUCACUAUGUAAGCAAACUUAUGCACGGUUUUCUGUUCAGGUUUUCAGGCAGAGCAGUUCAACAGGCAAUUUCCUGUACUAAGUAGUGUUAUAAUUAGGAUUGCCACUGGAAUGAAACCCAGUGCUCCCAUAUUAUUGUAUUACACCAUGUUAGCAUUUAAUUGUUACAUCUGAGAGAUGCACGCCCAUAUUUUGAGUGGGUAACUUCUUAUACCCUGCUUUUUUACAUCCAGGCUUUAAAUUCCCUUUAUUAUUCCUCUGUAAAUGUGUUUAUGUUCACAUGUGUAAUGGUAGAGGACAACAGCAAAUCAUGACAGUCUUUUGUGAUUAUUUGUUAUCUGUACAAAGGCAUUCACACAAUACAUCCAAAUCUUGGUUCAAGUUGAGCAGGAGCAACAAGAGAAAAUGUUUGGAUUUCAUGAUAAAGGGACACAUGAAUCUUCAAAUCCAGCUGUGCCAAUGGAAGAAUCCUCUCAGGUCUUGCUCAGAAACAUCUAUCAGAUGAACCUGGCCAAGAACCACACCAAGUUUAUGGGAUCAGACUUUCUACUUCCACUCCAGUGAAAAGUCACUUUGACAGUGGUGGUGCUAUUCCUGACCACUGUAUUAUUCAUGCUUUACAUGAUUGGUCUUUAGGCUUGCAGAGUAAAAAGGGGAUGCUGGAGAGAAUAAAAGUAAUAACAGCCUGCAAACUACAAGAAUGACAUGUCUUAGGAGCUGCUUGUCCGCAUAUCAUUUCUGGUUGUAGGCAAGAGCCACUCAAAUUCAUUAAGAGCAAACGGAAGUCCUUCAGCCCCAGAUUCCUGUCAUUUUAUUUGAAGAGGAGGCCUCUGGCAUGUAACCAGAUAUCUUCCGGGUUUUUCAGCUUGCUGAUCUUUGCCUUCAGACUUCUGGCCAGUAUUAAUUUACAUAGGCCUGAAACAAGCGUGGCACUAUCCGUCUUCUUGAGUUACAUGCAAGGAACACCAAUAAACUUCCUGAUGUAACUAAUGAAGGAAAUUGGGAAGGAAGGAACAGUCUAUCAAUUAUCAAUUGGAUAAAAGUUGCAGGAAUUGGGCAAAUUAAAGUAUAUGAAGCAAGUACUUCAAUAAUAAGAGCUGAGACUCAAGAAGAAACUGUGUGCAUUUCAACAUACUGAGCACAGAUGCAUUUGCAAUGUGGCAGCAGAAGGGAAAAAGAAGAACAGAGAUGGAGAGCAUAAGGGCAAGGGCAAGCACAUUUCAGAAAGAAAAAAGAAAAUGGUGAUUUGUUCCUAGAUGGGAGAGAUGCAGAUCUGCCACAUUUCAUAACAUGUGGAAAUGAAGCCGUACAUUUCUGGUGCCAUUUGUUUACAUUGUUGGUUUUUGUUUGCAUUGUUUGUUUGUUUGUUUGUUUGUUGUGAGCAUUCUGAUACCACCCCUUUUUUGCUCUGAUCCCCAAUUAAAUGAAAAUUCAAAAGUCA
rnacentral:lncRNA from 1 species